UACGAAGGGGGCUAGCGUUGUUCGGAUUUACUGGGCGUAAAGCGCACGUAGGCGGAUCGAUCAGUCAGGGGUGAAAUCCUGGAGCUCAACUCCAGAACUGCCUUUGAUACUGAAGAUCUUGAGUUCGGGAGAGGUGAGUGGAACUGCGAGUGUAGAGGUGAAAUUCGUAGAUAUUCGCAAGAACACCAGUGGCGAAGGCGGCUCACUGGCCCGAUACUGACGCUGAGGCACGAAAGCCAGGGGAGCAAACGGG
rnacentral:rRNA from 1 species